ensembl:snRNA U6 U6 spliceosomal RNA
GUGCUUGCUUUGGCAGCACAUAUGCUAAAAUUGGAACAAUACAGAGAAGAUCGGCAUGGCCCCUGAGCAAGGAAGACAUGAAAAUUCAUGAAGCGCUCCAUACUUAA